CUGGCUCAGGAUGAACGCUGGCGGCGUGCUUAACACAUGCAAGUCGAACGGAGUAUAGACGCUGCAGAGAUUUCGGUCGAAGCUUGUUUAUACUUAGUGGCGGACGGGUGAGUAACGCGUGGGUAACCUGCCGUAUGCAGGGGGACAACAGUUGGAAACGACUGCUAAUACCGCAUAUGCGCACAGUACCGCAUGGUACAGUGUGGAAAGAUUUAUCGGCAUACGAUGGACCCGCGUUUAAUUAGAUAGUUGGUGAGGUAACGGCUCACCAAGUCGACGAUCAAUAGCCGGCCUGAGAGGGCAAUCGGCCACAUUGGGACUGAGACACGGCCCAAACUCCUACGGGAGGCAGCAGUGGGGAAUAUUGCACAAUGGGGGAAACCCUGAUGCAAGCGACGCCGCGUGAGUGAAGAAGUAUUUCGGUAUGUAAAGCUCUAUCAGCAGGGAAGAUGAUGACGGUACCUGACUAAGAAGCCCCGGCUAACUACGUGCCAGCCGCCGC
rnacentral:rRNA from 1 species